ACUAGAGUAGCACUCGCAUAUCAAUAAGCGGAGGAAAAGAAACUAACAAGGAUUCCCCUAGUAACGGCGAGUGAAGCGGGAAGAGCUCAAAUUUGAAAUCUUAAAGGGUUUCCCUUUACGAAUUGUAGUUUAAAGAAGUGUUUUCUGUUGAGGUUUUGGUAAAAGUUCUUUGGAAUAGGACAUCAUAGAGGGUGAGAAUCCCGUAUUUGACCUUUACUUUCAACUUUGUGAUACACUUUCAAAGAGUCGGAUUGUUUGGGAAUGCAGUCCAAAAUGGGUGGUAAAUUUCAUCUAAAGCUAAAUAUUGGCGAGAGACCGAUAGCGAACAAGUACCGUGAGGGAAAGAUGAAAAGAACUUUGAAAAGAGAGUUAAACAGUACGUGAAAUUGUCAAAAGGGAAGCGUUUGACACCAGUGUUGUUUUUCUGAAAAUCAAUUAAAGAACUGUUUAUGCUAAGCUGUUUAGACUUUAUCAGCUAUCUGUUUAGUUUUGAGCUUUUCUUUAAUGCACUUUUCAGUUAACAAGUCAACAUCAAUUUCUUUUGCUGUAAAAAAGCUUGAGGAAGGUGGCUUGAGAUUCGUCUUAAGUGUUUAUAGCCUCUUGCCUAUGCAGUCGGAGAGAUUGAGGUCUGCAGCGUAGAUCCUUCGGGGCUAAAUGCAUUUGUGCCAAGUUAUAGCAUUUUAUAGACAACUUGUUGACUAUGAUUUGUCUUGUAGCUUACUCGCUUAUGUUAUUUACCUACGCUUAGGAUGUUGAACUCUAUCACACACAG
rnacentral:rRNA from 1 species